GUGCCAGCCGCCGCGGUAAUACCGGCAGCCCGAGUGAUGGCCGAUCUUAUUGGGCCUAAAGCGUCCGUAGCUGGCCGGACAAGUCCGUCGGGAAAUCCACGCGCUCAACGUGUGGGCGUCCGGCGGAAACUGUUCGGCUUGGGACCGGAAGAUCCGAGGGGUACGUCCGGGGUAGGAGUGAAAUCCCGUAAUCCUGGACGGACCACCGAUGGCGAAAGCACCUCGGAAGGACGGAUCCGACAGUGAGGGACGAAAGCUAGGGUCUCGAACCGGAUUAGAAACCCGUGUAGUCC
rnacentral:rRNA from 1 species